rnacentral:tRNA from 1 species
GCCCUCGUAGCUCAGUGGUUAGAGCACUGGUCUCGCAAACCAGGGGUCGGAAGUUCAAUUCUCACCGGGGGCA